UGUGAAAGCCCGGGGCUCAACCUCGGAAUUGCAUUUGAAACUGGCAGACUAGAGUACUGUAGAGGGGGGUAGAAUUUCAGGUGUAGCGGUGAAAUGCGUAGAGAUCUGAAGGAAUACCGGUGGCGAAGGCGGCCCCCUGGACAGAUACUGACACUCAGAUGCGAAAGCGUGGGGAGCAAACAGGAUUAGAUACCCUGGUAGUCCACGCCGUAAACGAUGUCUACUUGGAGGUUGUGGCCUUGAGCCGUGGCUUUCGGAGCUAACGCGUUAAGUAGACCGCCUGGGGAGUACGGUCGCAAGAUUAAAACUCAAAUGAAUUGACGGGGGCCCGCACAAGCGGUGGAGCAUGUGGUUUAAUUCGAUGCAACGCGAAGAACCUUACCUACUCUUGACAUCCAGAGAACUUUCCAGAGAUGGAUUGGUGCCUUCGGGAACUCUGAGACAGGUGCUGCAUGGCUGUCGUCAGCUCGUGUUGUGAAAUGUUGGGUUAAGUCCCGCAACGAGCGCAACCCUUAUCCUUGUUUGCCAGCGAGUAAUGUCGGGAACUCCAGGGAGACUGCCGGUGAUAAACCGGAGGAAGGUGGGGACGACGUCAAGUCAUCAUGGCCCUUACGAGUAGGGCUACACACGUGCUACAAUGGCGCAUACAGAGGGCGGCCAACUUGCGAAAGUGAGCGAAUCCCAAAAAGUGCGUCGUAGUCCGGAUUGGAGUCUGCAACUCGACUCCAUGAAGUCGGAAUCGCUAGUAAUCGUGGAUCAGAAUGCCACGGUGAAUACGUUCCCGGGCCUUGUACACACCGCCCGUCACACCAUGGGAGUGGGCUGCAAAAGAAGUAGGUAGUUUAACCUUCGGGGGGACGCUUACCACUUUGUGGUUCAUGACUGGGGUGAAGUCGUAACAAGGUAGCGCUAGGGGAACCUGGCGCUGGAUCACCUCCUUAAACGAUGAU
rnacentral:rRNA from 1 species